rnacentral:lncRNA from 1 species
UCCCACAAUAUUAUGAUGUUCCCCAAGUUUUGGACUCAAUCCGAUAUCGAUUGGUCCUUGAAAUCGGACAAUUCAGGUUCGUACGAAGUUCGUUCUGAAAUGGGGUGGUUCGUGUAUUGUAUCGUUCUAGGGAUUGGAUUUCACUCAAAACCCACGAAAUGACUCCUCCCACAAUAUUAUGUUGUUCCCCAAGUUUUGGACACAAUCCGAUAUCGAUUGGUCAACGAAAUCGGACAAUUCAAGUUCGUACGAAGUUCGUUCUGAAAGGGGUGGUUGGUUUACUGUAUAGUUCUAGGGAUUGGAUUUCACUCAAAACCCACCAAAUGACUCAUCCCACAAUAUUACGAUGUUCCCCAAGUUUUGGACACAAUCCGGUAUCGAUUGGUCCUUGGGAUCGGACAAUUCAGGUUCGUACGAAGUUGUUCUGAAAUGGGGUGGUUGGUGUAUUGUAUAGUUCUAGAGAUUGGAUUUCACUCAAAACCCACCAAAUGACUCCUUCACAAUAUUGUGGUGUUCCCCAAGUCUUGGACUCAAUCCGAGAUCGAUUGGUCCUUUUAAUCGGACAAUUCAGGUUCGUACGAAGGUCGUUCUGAAGUGGAAUGGCUGAAGUAUUGUAUAGUUCUAGAGAUUGGAUUUCACUCAAAACCCACCAAAUGACUCCUCCCAAAAUAUUAUUAUGCUCCCCAAGUUUUGGACUCAAUCCGAUAUCGAUUGGUCCUUGAAAUCGGACAAUUCAGGUUCGUACGAAGUUCGUUCUGAAAUGGAGUGGUUGGUUUAUCUUAUAGUUCUAGGGAUUGGAUUUCACUCAAAACCCACGAAAUGACUCCUCCCACAAUAUUAUGAUGUUCCCCAAGUUUUGGUCUCAAUCCGAUAUCAAUUGGUCAAUGCAAUCGGACAAUUCAAGUUUGUACGAAGUUCGUUCUAAAAUGGGGUGGUUGGUGUAUUGUAUAGUUCAAGAGAUUGGAUUUCACUCAAAACCCACCAAAUGACUCCACCCGCAAUAUUAUGAUGUUCCCCAAGUUUUGGACGCAAUCCGAUAUCUAUUGGUCCCUGUAAUCGGACAAUUGAAGUUCGUACGAAGUUCGUUCUGAAAUGGAGUGGCUGAAGUAUUGUAUAGUUCUAGAGAUUGGAUUUCACUCAAAAAUCACCAAACGACUCCUCCCACAAUAUUAUGUUGCUCCCCAAGUUUUGGACUCAAUCCGAUAUCGAUUGGUCCUUGAAAUCGAACAAUUCAGGUUCGUACGAAGUUCGUUCUGAAAUGGGGUGGUUGGUGUAUUGUAUAGUUCUAGAGACUGGAUUUCACUCAAAACCCACCAAAUGACUCCUCCCACAAUAUUAUGAUGUUCCCCAACUUUUGGACUCAAUCCGAUAUCAAUUGGUCCUUGUAAUCGGACAAUUCAGGUUCGUACGAAGUUCGUUC